rnacentral:rRNA from 1 species
AACCAGACUCCUACGGGAGGCAGCAGUGGGGAAUAUUGCACAAUGGGGGGAACCCUGAUGCAGCGACGCCGCGUGGGUGAAGGAGCACCUCGGUGCGUAAAGCCCUAUCGGCAGGGAAGAAACAGACGGUACCUGACUAAGAAGCCCCGGCUAACUACGUGCCAGCAGCCGCGGUAAUACGUAGGGGGCAAGCGUUAUCCGGAUUUACUGGGUGUAAAGGGAGCGUAGGCGGUUAGAUAAGUCUGAUGUGAAAGCCCACAGCUUAACUGUGGGAUUGCAUUGGAAACUAUAGAACUAGAGUGUCGGAGAGGUAAGUGGAAUUCCUAGUGUAGCGGUGAAAUGCGUAGAUAUUAGGAGGAACACCAGUGGCGAAGGCGGCUUACUGGACGAUGACUGACGCUGAGGCUCGAAAGCGUGGGGAGCAAACAGGAUUAGAUACCCCAGUA